rnacentral:rRNA from 1 species
AAUCUCUAGUGAACGAUAGUGAACCAGUACCGUGAGGGAAAGGUGAAAAGCCCCCCGGAAGGGGAGUGAAAUAGAACCUGAAACCGUGUGCUUACAAGUAGUCAGAGCCCGUUAAUGGGUGAUGGCGUGCCUUUUGUAGAAUGAACCGGCGAGUUACGAUUUGAUGCAAGGUUAAGCAGUAAAUGUGGAGCCGUAGCGAAAGCGAGUCUGAAUAGGGCGUUUAGUAUUUGGUCGUAGACCCGAAACCAGGUGAUCUACCCUUGGUCAGGUUGAAGUUCAGGUAACACUGAAUGGAGGACCGAACCGACUUACGUUGAAAAGUGAGCGGAUGAACUGAGGGUAGCGGAGAAAUUCCAAUCGAACCUGGAGAUAGCUGGUUCUCUCCGAAAUAGCUUUAGGGCUAGCCUCAAGUGAUGAUUAUUGGAGGUAGAGCACUGUUUGGACGAGGGGCCCCUCUCGGGUUACCGAAUUCAGACAAACUCCGAAUGCCAAUUAAUUUAACUUGGGAGUCAGAACAUGGGUGAUAAGGUCCGUGUUCGAAAGGGAAACAGCCCAGACCACCAGCUAAGGUCCCAAAAUAUAUGUUAAGUGGAAAAGGAUGUGGCGUUGCCCAGACAACUAGGAUGUUGGCUUAGAAGCAGCCAUCAUUUAAAGAGUGCGUAAUAGCUCACUAGUCGAGUGACACUGCGCCGAAAAUGUACCGGGGCUAAACAUAUUACCGAAGCUGUGGAUUGUCCUUUGGACAAUGGUAGGAGAGCGUUCUAAGGGCGUUGAAGCAUGAUCGCAAGGACAUGUGGAGCGCUUAGAAGUGAGAAUGCCGGUGUGAGUAGCGAAAGACGGGUGAGAAUCCCGUCCACCGAUUGACUAAGGUUUCCAGAGGAAGGCUCGUCCGCUCUGGGUUAGUCGGGUCCUAAGCUGAGGCCGACAGGCGUAGGCGAUGGAUAACAGGUUGAUAUUCCUGUACCACCUAUAAUCGUUUUAAUCGAUGGGGGGACGCAGUAGGAUAGGCGAAGCGUGCGAUUGGAUUGCACGUCUAAGCAGUAAGGCUGAGUAUUAGGCAAAUCCGGUACUCGUUAAGGCUGAGCUGUGAUGGGGAGAAGACAUUGUGUCUUCGAGUCGUUGAUUUCACACUGCCGAGAAAAGCCUCUAGAUAGAAAAUAGGUGCCCGUACCGCAAACCGACACAGGUAGUCAAGAUGAGAAUUCUAAGGUGAGCGAGCGAACUCUCGUUAAGGAACUCGGCAAAAUGACCCCGUAACUUCGGGAGAAGGGGUGCUCUUUAGGGUUAACGCCCAGAAGAGCCGCAGUGAAUAGGCCCAAGCGACUGUUUAUCAAAAACACAGGUCUCUGCUAAACCGUAAGGUGAUGUAUAGGGGCUGACGCCUGCCCGGUGCUGGAAGGUUAAGAGGAGUGGUUAGCUUCUGCGAAGCUACGAAUCGAAGCCCCAGUAAACGGCGGCCGUAACUAUAACGGUCCUAAGGUAGCGAAAUUCCUUGUCGGGUAAGUUCCGACCCGCACGAAAGGCGUAACGAUUUGGGCACUGUCUCAACGAGAGACUCGGUGAAAUCAUAGUACCUGUGAAGAUGCAGGUUACCCGCGACAGGACGGAAAGACCCCGUGGAGCUUUACUGUAGCCUGAUAUUGAAAUUCGGCACAGCUUGUACAGGAUAGGUAGGAGCCUUUGAAACGUGAGCGCUAGCUUACGUGGAGGCGCUGGUGGGAUACUACCCUAGCUGUGUUGGCUUUCUAACCCGCACCACUUAUCGUGGUGGGAGACAGUGUCAGGCGGGCAGUUUGACUGGGGCGGUCGCCUCCUAAAAGGUAACGGAGGCGCUCAAAGGUUCCCUCAGAAUGGUUGGAAAUCAUUCAUAGAGUGUAAAGGCAUAAGGGAGCUUGACUGCGAGACCUACAAGUCGAGCAGGGUCGAAAGACGGACUUAGUGAUCCGGUGGUUCCGCAUGGAAGGGCCAUCGCUCAACGGAUAAAAGCUACCCCGGGGAUAACAGGCUUAUCUCCCCCAAGAGUUCACAUCGACGGGGAGGUUUGGCACCUCGAUGUCGGCUCAUCGCAUCCUGGGGCUGUAGUCGGUCCCAAGGGUUGGGCUGUUCGCCCAUUAAAGCGGUACGCGAGCUGGGUUCAGAACGUCGUGAGACAGUUCGGUCCCUAUCCGUCGUGGGCGUAGGAAAUUUGAGAGGAGCUGUCCUUAGUACGAGAGGACCGGGAUGGACAUACCUCUGGUGUACCAGUUGUCGUGCCAACGGCAUAGCUGGGUAGCUAUGUGUGGACGGGAUAAGUGCUGAAAGCAUCUAAGCAUGAAGCCCCCCUCAAGAUGAGAUUUCCCAACUUCGGUUAU